GGAGGUGUUUCUGUUCUAACGCGUCGCGGUAAAGAGAGGAGACCGAUCCUCAGGUCACGUGGUUGCAAAAGUCACGUGACCAAGUGGGCUAGGCACUU
rnacentral:lncRNA from 1 species